CUUAGCGGCAACGCCGCUUCCGGGACGCCGUCCGCUCAGAAAGCCUCAAAGCUGGCUGGAGACGCCGCCGGGGUAGCGCGCGCAGAUCCCGGGUGUGGGGCCGGGGCUCAGUUCUGUGCUUUUCUGUGUUGAAGCCUGGAUCUCAGAGCUGAUGAAGGACAGUGUCCAGGGACUCAGGUCCACUUUUUAAGGGCCAUGAUUCCACUUUGCUGCCCAAGGCGUUGCAUGGUUUCGGGUGUGACAUUCAAGUCGAACCCGAGGAGUCUGCAGUUCCCCAAGAGCGAGCAUAGCGGGGACCCUGCGUCCCUGUCAGCGCACCUUGCCG
rnacentral:lncRNA from 1 species